rnacentral:rRNA from 1 species
CCAUCUACAAACCCUAGAUCCCGUGCCAUCCCGUUCCCUCCCCCCUCCUAGAAAAGGACAAACCCUCGUACAGAGAGCAGAUCAGAUCUGAGUAGCGCCGAGGCUUCCGGGAUGGAGAACUUCAGGAUGGACGACGACGACGAGUUGUUCCACCGCUACGACCCUGAGGUGCUGGCCGCCAACGGCAUCGAGUACCCCCCCGACGAUACUAGGAUGCGCAUGAAGUGGUGGGCUUUUCUGAUGCAAGUAGAGGGUAAUUUGAGACCUACAAAUAUGUCGGUACCUUCGGCAAAGAUCAUCAGGUACCCAGAUAGAUCAAAUGGAGAAGGCAUGGGGAUGGUGGAGGCUGCUGCCCAUCUAUCAGGGCCUCGGUUCGGACAUGCCCCUCUACCGGGAGUACCUCUGCGAGUACUACCUCCGCAAUCCUCCUGAAUCUGUCGAUGACUCUGCCUGUACCAGGCACAAGUUUGUGGUCCGAUCUGCAUGGACAAAUGAGAAUGGCCGUCUCAUUCCUCUCGCCCGCAAGUGCCUGGAGAUGGAGGCCAAGUUCAUCGGUCUGUGUGAGAGGAACAAGAUAAAAUUAACUGACACUGAGACUGCCCUGAGCCACAAAAUCAAGCAGCAUGCGCAGGACAUAGUUGAUGGAGCGUGUGAAUAUGCUGGUGCAUAUGCUGCCGCUGCUGCUUUGGUGUGUAUCUGCAAAGAGGCUGAGUUGAUGUGCGAGAGGGCUAUGUGCGGGAGAUACAACUCUGGUAACUUGACUUGCAUGCUCUGCAAUCAGCUCAGAGAGCAUGCCAUCAGUCUUAUGUUGUACAAAGGGUCUGGAUCCAUCGCCGCCGCUGCUGGUGCCGCCAUGGUGGGCGCUGCAAAGGAGGCCAAGCUGUUACGUGAGAAUCUGAGCAAUCUAAGCUGUGAUGAAGAAAUGUCUGUUUCCAUUCGGGAGGAAGCCUGUUGCAUUCUGCAGGACAUGCACACUGAAGCUUUUGGUGCUAAUGGGAAGAACAACAUUGCUGCUGCUGCUGCUGCUGGAGCAGAUAUAUCUACUAGGCACGGAUCAGCACUGUUGGGAAUUUGACUUGUACUGCAGCUAAUAACAAGAAAGAGCUAGGAAGUAAUGGUUGUACAGAAUGGAAUGAUGAUAAGGAAAACAUGGAGAGUAGUAAUGGGAACAACAUUGUUGCUGCUGCUGCUGGAGUAGGGAAAUCUUCAAGGAUCAGAGCUCUUGGGGACUUGACUUGUACUGCAUCUAGUGGCAAGGAAGAUAAUAAGAGGACACUAAGUAAUGGGUGUACAGAAAUGAAUGAUGCUAAGGAAAACAUGGAGAAUGUGAAUCAGAAGACUGGGGAAGAAUACAUGUGGAAAAAGAAGACCGAAGAAGAAGCUUACAUGGAAACUGCAUAAUAACUCAGGCCAAACUAGAAAAGGGAGAGAAGUGGAAGAGGAUGGCUAACUUGACGUGGGCUGAUGGUUGUGGUGGAACUUAGUUGAGAUGGUCUUUUAUAGUUGUGAGAUUGUUCUUACGGACCGUACUACUCUGUUUCCUUCAGUACCUAUAUAUAUAUUAACGUUGGAUUGAUGCGAUGGACCAUAUUUUGAACCUGCUUGGUUUGUAAUCAAAUCUGGGUAAUAUUAGCGGUCCACCUUUGGAACUGAAGUUAUGAUUUACUCCCUCCGUUCUGAAAUUGUUGUUGGUAGGAGUAUGAGAC